CAGCCGCCGCGGUAAGACAGAGGAUGCAAGCGUUAUCCGGAAUGAUUGGGCGUAAAGCGUCUGUAGGUGGUUUUUUAAGUCUGAUGUGAAAGCCCACGGCUCAACCGUGGAGGGUCAUUGGAAACUGGAAAACUUGAGUGCAGAAGAGGAAAGUGGAAUUCCAUGUGUAGCGGUGAAAUGCGCAGAGAUAUGGAGGAACACCAGUGGCGAAGGCGACUUUCUGGUCUGUAACUGACGCUAAUGCGUGAAAGCGUGGGGAGCAAACAGGAUUAGAUACCCCCGUAGUCCCUGUCUCUUAUAC
rnacentral:rRNA from 1 species